rnacentral:rRNA from 1 species
CCUACGGGAGGCAGCAGUGAGGAAUAUUGGUCAAUGGACGAGAGUCUGAACCAGCCAAGUAGCGUGAAGGAUGACUGCCCUAUGGGUUGUAAACUUCUUUUAUAUGGGAAUAAAAUGUUCCACGUGUGGGCUUUUGUAUGUACCAUAUGAAUAAGGAUCGGCUAACUCCGUGCCAGCAGCAGCGGUAAUACGGAGGAUCCGAGCGUUAUCCGGAUUUAUUGGGUUUAAAGGGAGCGUAGGUGGAUUGUUAAGUCAGUUGUGAAAGUUUGCGGCUCAACCGUAAAAUUGCAGUUGAAACUGGCAGUCUUGAGUACAGUAGAGUUGGGCGGAAUUCGUGGUGUAGCGGUGAAAUGCUUAGAUAUCACGAAGAACUCCGAUUGCGAAGGCAGCUCACUGGACUGCAACUGACACUGAGGCUCGAAAGUGUGGGUAUCAAACAGGAUUAGAUACCCUUGUAGUC